GAAUUCGCCCUUAGAGUUUGAUCCUGGCUCAGGACGAACGCUGGCGGCGUGCUUAACACAUGCAAGUCGAACGGUGACGAGGACUUCGGUCCUCUGAUCAGUGGCGGACGGGUGAGUAACGCGUGAGUAACCUGCCUCGGAGUGUGGAAUAACGCAUGGAAACGUGCGCUAAUACCGCAUAAUGUAUCUGGGUGGCAUCACUUGGAUACCAAAGGAGCAAUUCGCUCUGAGAUGGACUCGCGUCCAAUUAGCUAGUUGGUGAGGUAAUGGCCCACCAAGGCGACGAUUGGUAGCCGGACUGAGAGGUUGGCCGGCCACAUUGGGACUGAGACACGGCCCAGACUCCUACGGGAGGCAGCAGUGGGGAAUAUUAGGCAAUGGGGGAAACCCUGACCUAGCAACGCCGCGUGAAGGAUGAAGGUUUUCGGAUUGUAAACCUCUGUCCUUGGUGACGAAGGAAGUGACGGUAGCCAAGGAGGAAGCCCCGGCUAACUACGUGCCAGCAGCCGCGGUAAUACGUAGGGGGCGAGCGUUGUCCGGAAUGACUGGGCGUAAAGGGCGCGUAGGCGGCCAUUUAAGUUAGGAGUGAAAGUCCCGCUUUCAAGGUGGGAAUUGCUUUUAAUACUGAAUGGCUUGAGUGCGGAAGAGGUAAGUGGAAUUCCCAGUGUAGCGGUGAAAUGCGUAGAGAUUGGGAGGAACACCAGUGGCGAAGGCGACUUACUGGGCCGUAACUGACGCUGAGGCGCGAAAGCGUGGGGAGCGAACAGGAUUAGAUACCCUGGUAGUCCACGCUGUAAACGAUGGAUGCUAGGGAGUGGGAGGUAUCGACCCCUUCCGUGCCGCAGUUAACGCAAUAAGCAUCCCGCCUGGGGGAGUACGGCCGCAAGGUUGAAACUCAAAGGAAUUGGACGGGGGCCCGCACAAGCAGAGGAGCAUGUGGUUUAAUUGAACGCAACGCGAAGAACCUUACCAGGGCUUGACAUCUGAUUAAAGCUGUGGAAACACAGUGUGACUUCGGUCAAAUCAAGACAGGUGGUGCAUGGUUGUCGUCAGCUCGUGCCGUGAGGUGUCGGCUUAAGUGCCAUAACGAGCGCAACCCUUGUCCUCAGUUGCCAUCAGGUAAUGCUGGGCACUCUGUGGAGACUGCCAUCGCAAGAUGUGAGGAAGGUGGGGAUGACGUCAAAUCAGCACGGCCCUUACGUCCGGGGCUACACACGUGUUACAAUGGGGGGUACAGCGAGCCGCUUCCUGGCGACAGGUGGCCAAUCUUUAAAUCCCCUCUCAGUUCGGACUGGAGUCUGCAACCCGACUCCACGAAGCUGGAUUCGCUAGUAAUCGCGCAUCAGCCAUGGCGCGGUGAAUACGUUCCCGGGCCUUGCACACACCGCCCGUCA
rnacentral:rRNA from 1 species